UGGGGAAUAUUGCACAAUGGGCGCAAGCCUGAUGCAGCAAUGCCGCGUGAGUGAAGACGGCCUUAGGGUUGUAAAACUCUUUCGCUAGGGAAGAUAAUGACGGUAGCCGUAGAAGAAGCCCCGGCUAACUUCGUGCCAGCAGCCGCGGUAAUACGAAGGGGGCAAGCGUUGUUCGGAAUUACUGGGCGUAAAGGGCGUGUAGGCGGACCAGAAAGUUGGGGGUGAAAUCCCGGGGCUCAACCCCGGAACUGCCUCCAAAACUAUUGGUCUAGAGUUCGAGAGAGGUGAGUGGAAUUCCAAGUGUAGAGGUGAAAUUCGUAGAUAUUUGGAGGAACACCAGUGGCGAAGGCGGCUCACUGGCUCGAUACUGACGCUGAGGUGCGAAAGUGUGGGGAGCAAACAGGAUUAGAUACCCUGGUAGUCCACACCGUAAAACGAUGAAUGCCAGUCGUCGGGUAGCAUGCUAUUCGGUGACACACCUAACGGAUUAAGCAUUCCGCCUGGGGAGUACGGUCGCAAGAUUAAAA
rnacentral:rRNA from 1 species